GUCCUGAUUUUGGCGGCACCUACAGGUAAUAGAGGCACACUGCGCUGUGGAGAUUGACUGGGUUUCAAACUGCUGUUCUAAUGAAUGAUGUGAGCCAAAGAAAAAUUAUAUUUAUAUUUUUAAGGUCUUUUAUUUUAUGUAUCAGCGGUGAUUUGUGAUUAUGGCAUAGGUAUAUGUCAUAAUAGGCAGAUAUUGUUAUUAUUAUUAUGUGUCCCCGUGCGUACACGCACGCGCCAGCGGUCACGGAUAUACAGUUGGCCCACAGGCAAGGAUAAAAAUAGCACAAGCCGAUGCGACGGGCGCAGCCCUUUUCCUCUACCAGAUCCCAUUUUCCCCCUUAGGUUUUCACAAAGCGGAGCUUCACCACAGAUUGAUUUCCCUUCUAUGGCCAUCAUUGUCCUCUCGUGUUCAUGUCCACGCAGUGUGCACGUGUAGAUGGACGGAGUUGUUGUGUGGAGAACGUCUCACACUGAAUGAUAGAAGGCUGGGGUGAUAGACAGAACAUCCAGUGAUAGGAGGUUUAUUUCUGCGUAUUUGCUCGGACGUUUACGCACCCUGUUCCGCGGGGGUGUCAUGCGUGUGGAGCUGCCUCAGCUCACCGUGGCUCUGUCUGUGGUUUUACCCGCCAAAUGCACUGGAUGCUGGGAUAUAAAUGAUCCAGGACCAAAACAGCAUCAACACUUGGAUAUACAGAGAAGUGGUUGGGAGGGGAGAGACGGGAGAGGGAGGGGAGAGGAGGGUCGCUGGAAACCCAGAUGCUCCAGCCUUUGAGGAGGGAUUUUACCUGGAGAUAACCUGCUCCAAAAAUGUGUAGUUUCCAACGAAUCUUUGACACAUUAGCCGAUCUUCUCAUUUAUUUAUUUCUCCCUAUCCAUGGCACAAUUCGGAUAUAGCCGAGCGCAGAGAGACAGUCUUUAAUCAGGCUUUACGGGCUGGAAAGUGAGAGAAUCUAAACGUGACGUCAAUGCCUAGUAACUGACGCAGCCCUUCAACAUAAAAUGGCUUUUUACUCAUUUUUUUCUCCAUCUCCUAUCGUCAGAAAAGCUUAAUUACUAGAUUUUACAGUGCUCCGUCAACUGCAGAAAGAAAAAGAAAAUCCCUGCAAGCAGUGCCGGGUAGGCCUUGCUCUUCAAUAUUUGGACACAUUUAGCGUUCACGAGUUUUGUGCUGAAGUAACACUGGGACCAGAAGCUUCUGAAGAGGGCGACAACACCUCAAACAUAGCCGAUGGUAGUGGCAGUGUCCAGAUUCUAGUUGUUAGGAAGGAAAGUGGCGUUUAAAGGAUCAAACGGACGUUUUUUUGUUUGUUUGUUUGUUUGUUUUUUUUUUUUAAGACACUGCAAUGAUGCAACGGAUGAGGACUCGACGCUCUUAAGCAGAGUUGGAGAAGCAGUAAAAGAUAUUUUUAUUACAUGGUGCACAACAUGUAACGAUUCCAAGCAAUGCGUUCUUUAGAGCAAGGACGAGCCAGAAUUACGGUGAGAGAGGCACCUGCACACGCAACGUUGAGUCCCCUCUACUUUUGUGAGAAAACAGUAAAGAAAACCUCAGUGACCUGUGUGGACUCUGCUGCUGCGGCAGCUUCAGCCUGAGGAGUUAUCCUGCUGCGCUGCGCUCCAGACAGAAAAGGUGAUCAGCGGUUUGCACCGAGGACUGAAUGGCAGAAAUACCUCUAUUUUUUUCUGGAUUUCCCCCAACAAGGUAAAUAGAACCCCUCAGCACCAGGGGAGGCAGGGUUUAGGCCAGGGUCCACUCAGCCCUAACACAGGUCAGAAGUUAUGAAUUCAAGAGGAAAGAACCUGGAAGCUUUCUCAUUGAUAAAGCAGGAAAGUAGAGAAGGAUCAAAGUUCCAACUUAGAAGAUGAAGGAAGCUUCUUAUGAGCUCAGCUUUCUACUUUGUUUCUAUCAGCAGCUGAAGCUGAGACGGUUCAGCCAUGAGGUCUGCGCUGAACCGGUCUGAUAUCAGGAUGGAAAGGAAAAUGAGGUGGCAUGAAGUAGUUACCAAUGCAGCAGGUGAAACAAGAAGUGGAGGAACAGGAUGAAGACAGAUGACGACUGGGUGGAGGUAGCAGGAUGGGUGAGCUAAGAGGCGAGCCCACACCUUAUUUCCAUGGGCACCACCCGAAACCAGGAAAGUCAAGUUGGAGCAGGACCCAAAAGCGCCCAUGAUGUCUGAUCUCACAAAGGCAAGGAUGAAGCACAGAAGACCAGUCCUCCCCCCAUCAUGCUGAGCAGCUGCACACUCAGCUCUGCCUCCUGAACACACACACAACAGAUGAAGCAGCUGUCACAUCGCAGUUCUCUGUCGGAUAAAACACCACUGAAGCUGUUUGGCAGACAAAUCAUGGCAGUGAUCUGAGGCCGGAUUCCCCUGUUUGCAGUGUGUGUGUGAGAGAGAGCAUCAGAGUGAGUGUGUGUAUAACAGCUGGAUGUUCAUUGUCUGUCUUCUCAAACAUGUAACAUUUUUCUUGGCAUGUGCAACAUUCCAAUCAUACUGUAUAUUGGAUCUGCUGUGUUACAUAUUAAAUAUAAAAUGCAGACCCUUUUUAACCCUGUAUGUUUUCCUCAUUAUUGUACUAGAGCAGUCAGUUUGUGCCAUGAAUUAUUUAUAUUAAAGAUGACAUUUGUGCAAAUAUUUUUUUCUUAAAAAAAAAAAGCUGAUUUUUUUUUUCCCUCGUGCAUUUUGCUGAAUUUGUUAUGAAAUGUUUAUACAAUUUGUUUCUCCUUCCUCUCGGAUGCCCGACGAUUGUGUCUAAUUUUGCGAACAGCAGCAGGAAAUUUUUGGAGGAGAAACACCAGUUUCUUACUCUCACUGCUCUGCAGAGUACACAGCAGGUUCUGCUGGGAGCCACAGAGCCUUGGUCUGGCUGCAUUUCGUGUUUGGUUUGCCCGGCUGCCUGGAUGGAUGAGGGGGGAAGACAUGGAGCAUGGCGGCUUGCAGGCAGAUAGGGUGUGAAAACAACAAAUGAAAAACUGUUGCAAACAUCCUACUAUAGUGCUGCUGAUUUUUAUUGUGAAAAAUUAAAAAGGUGACAUGCUUUGGUGACGUGUAACAAGUUUUUUCUAUGAACUCGUGUGGAAAUUUUAAACACUCUGUGAAAUAAAAGCGAUGGAAAUUUA